UACGAAGGGUGCUAGCGUUACUCGGAAUUACUGGGCGUAAAGCGCGCGCAGGCGGUUUAUUAAGUUGAGAGUGAAAUUCCAGGGCUUAACCUUGGGGCUGCUUUCAAAACUGGUAGACUAGAGAUCGGUAGAGGAUGGUGGAAUUCCUAGUGUAGAGGUGAAAUUCUUAGAUAUUAGGAGGAACACCGGUGGCGAAAGCGACCAUCUGGGCCGUUUCUGACGCUGAGGCGCGAAAGCGUGGGGAGCAAACAGG
rnacentral:rRNA from 1 species